rnacentral:lncRNA from 13 species
CUGUGUAAGAGGAAGGGCUGCGAGGGCUCCCCAACGUGGACUAAGAUCAAUCCUAAAGCUUUGGGUUACCAGAUCAGUACGAAUGGAAGUGUUGCCAACAACCCCUGUACAACACUGGGGAUCCAAUGCGACGGUGAGUCCUGUAUGUUUGUGUGUCCUUUCUGCGUAUAUUUCUCUAAGUGUCUUGACAGUGGGUUGAAAUACCACCCAUGCGUACAAGUACAUUAAUAUCUUUGUAAGUACACUUUUUACAUAUUUUUGUCAGUGUUUUAUACGGUGCUGUAAAACAAUAGCCUGGUCCCGUAUCUAUUUAGGUUGCCUUGCCAAAUGACCAUAGGAGUUGGUAAGACUGUACGAACAGAUCUGGGGCCAGCCUAGUAAAGUCACGGUUAAAUAUGAAUCUCAUCUCCUCUCCACUCCAGUCGUCUCAGAUCAGUUAGUGGGCUAUAAGGUGGUGACUGGUCUGCUGUGUGUUCUGGUGCUGGUGGUGCUGAUGGUGCGUUUCGGGCAGCCCUCCCUCAAGGCCCUCCGUAGGAGACUGUCAGACAAGAGGCAGAGUCGGUGGAUCGGACCUACGCAGAGCCAAAGUGUCUCCUACCAUAGAGGGAAGGCUGGACUCCAACUUAACGACAACACAGACAAGAGACACUCCUACCCUGGAUUGGAGAGGCUGACGGUGAACACCAGCCGAGAGCCUUCGUCUAACAGAAACAGUGAUUACAACUCUUAUAACUUGUGAUCAUCAUCAUCAUCAGUCAUAUCCUUCAUCCACAAUGACAAUACACUGUACAUGUAUUUUUCAUAUUUUAUUAUAUUUUUUAUAUUUUGUUAUAUUUUUUUAUGCUAAUUGUAAUAUUUUUUUAAGCACAUAAUAUCAUUUUUUUUUUGGGGGGGGGGGGUGUUUCUGUACGUAAUUCAGUCAUUCACUUCUUUUAUUGAAUAAACGUAAAGUUUGUUGUUGAAUAAAAUGUUUGGACCUCGUACUUAGAAGUGAACCGGAUGCUCAAGUUGGCAAUGAAAAGCAGGAUGAAAGCAAGAGGGAGAGAAAAUCAUGUUGUGAGAAAGAAAGGGGGAUACAGAAAGAUGUGGAGACGCUGGAGGUGACGAGCGAGGGGUCUCGCGCGCGCACCAACUUCUGAUUUCUGCAACGGUGUGGCUUCCUGUGCCGUUGACACCAACAUCCUGUUGCUGUUAUUUCUGUCACACUGCUGUUCCCUCGUUCUCUCGCUCUAAAUUGAUGUUCACCUUUUACACCUCUGUCGCUCUGCUCCUCCUCAAAUAACCUCCAUCGCCCGUUUGUGCUCUUCUUCCUCCGUCCUUCAUCCCUUUCUUCUUUAAUCCCCCUCUUCCUCUCCAUCGUCCUGCCUAUUCAUUUGGCUGUCGCGUCUCCAUUUUUCUCAUUUAUUCUCUUAAAAUACGACUAUUGUUGUUUGGGGGGAGCUUGUUCUUCCGCAUCUUUUCACGCCUCCUUUGAGUUGAGUGAAAGGAUGUUUUCUGUCUGGAAUUGAAGUGGAGAAGAUUGUGCUGACGGCAUCUUAUUGUAGAAAAACAUUGUUUGGCGAACCGAGCCUCAGUCAAUCUUCCGCGCGUGUGUGUGUGCGUGUGGGUCAAAAGGUCAAAUACAGGGUGCUUAUGCAUGUCCUUUUUCACACGUGUACAAGAGUGCAACCUAUAGAGGUUGUGGUGAAAUGGAAAUGUUUUUUUCAUAUCCCAUUCCCCCUGAGACUCCCUUGGAGAGUGGGGUCACGGUGUGUGUGCAUGCAUGCAUGAGUCUCUCACACACACACACACACACACACACCAUUUGGCAUGGAAGACAACUAUACAUUUGUGUGUGUGUGUGUGUGUGUGUGUGUGUGUGUGUGUGUGUGUGUGUGUGUGUGUGUGUGUGUGUGUGUGUGUGUGUGUGUGUGUGUGU